GCCUCCCUCCCUCCCUCACUGGCUCCUAAUCCGGCGGCAGCGGUGGCGGCUGCCGCGCCCACGCCCGUCUGCUCCCAGCAGCCAUCACCUCCUUCGUCCGGCUGGCGACCCAUGCCGCGUCCGUCUGCUCCGCCCGCACUCAUGCCGCCCCCUCUCCUCUUCCUCCCGCCUCACCUCUCUCCCCCUCCUAAAGACCAAACCCUAACACCCCGCCCCGACCCUGGCUCCCGCCGGAGGGAAGGAGGAACGGCGAGGCGAGGCAAAGGUGGCGGCGUUGGGGACGCAACAUCCCCUCCAAGAGCCUCGGAAAGCAAAUGGGGAAGCUGCUGCGGGUUCUUCGACCUCCCCUGCCUCAUCUCGUCUCUGUAGGUGCAGCAUGUAGAUCGGCCAGAGGAGGUGGAUGUGGAGGAGCAGGCCAACACCCCUCCCUCUUCACCUCCCACCCAGCACUGGAUACUAUUGUGAGAUGGUCUGAUACAUGAAAGACAGGCUCAAGUCCCUCUAGGGAAGCAUCCAGUAUCCCUGUUCUACUGAUUUCGCCGGAACGUCGAACUAUGCUCCACCUGAGAGCACUGGAGCAAUCACAUCAUGAGAGGGUCAACAGACGACAAUCCGACAUGUGUCACCGACAGUGAAGGAAGCUGCCAUUCUACAGAAAGAACAAUCAUUCGAGCUACCCAUGAUGUGAGAGCGACAAGCAACCGUGAACCAUUGCACAUCAGCAACAAAAGAGAGAAACACCACUAUGCUAACAAGCGAAAGGUUCAAGCCGACAGGACUUUGACACGGGGACCACAUCCCAUUGGUUAUGACAAUUAGACCCAUUAGUCAGAAUCUGUUCAGAUAUCAUCAUCUAUAAAGAUAUUAUGUACUGGUGAUUUGAUCCAUUGUGCCACUCAUACUUCACCUAUUUGGAUCAUUUAGCUCGAGCAAUUUGCACAAUCUUAUUCUUACACAAAAGAUAUGACAUAAAGAAAGCUGAGCCACUGCACAUGGGGAAAUAGAAGAUGAUCCUAUAUGUUUGGCUAGCCUGAGUGACACGAUAAGUUCCUGAGAGCCCUGUGUCAAAACAGAGUAAGGUUGCAAAGAAAUGCAAGACAAAUAACAUGAAAAUCUGCUAGAGAGCACUAGAGUUCCAACAACAAAGGAAACAACUGACUCACUAUUUGCUCCAUCAGUACAGAAUCUGUACAAUGCAAAUGGAACGCUACUGUUGCUUUCGAAAUGCUAUUGGAUCUUAUAAAGAUUUUUGGACCUGUUAUUCAUUCAACAUUGUCAGCUAGCUCACUCUUUGGAGUAGAACUUCAAGCCGAACAGAGGUAUGCUCUCCAACUUUACUCGGGGAAGGGAACUGGGUGUUGCUAAGAGAAAUGUUUUAAAAACUUGUGUUGCUACAAGCCACUCAGGAACUCGGUCUGAGGUGACGAGUUGGUCGCGUACUUAUGUUUUGCUUAUACUGGUCCUGUCCCUCAUAAGGGUGUGUAUCAAGUGUUUCCCAAUUUAGUUCUGGCAUGUUGAGUCCAUGGACAAGUAUGGAUUAUUCUCUUUAGCUUUAGCCAAUUUAGGAGACAACCGCUGUUUUCCUGUACAUUUGCAUAUAGUUUCAGUCGCUAUGAUAGUAAACUUGCUCUCAACGACUCCGAUCUUACAAAAUGUUAGGUCUCCUUAGUUCCAAAUAUGGUUUUACAGGUCUAAAAUUAUUUCUUUGAUGUGAGGUGCCAUGCUGUGGAUAACAUGGAGAUUAUCAAGGCGGAGCGGCGGUGAGUAUGGAGCUCAUAAUCAUCAGUUCAUCACCAUGAAGCGGAAGAAAUGGUAUAGCUUUGCCACGCUGGACUUUGGCAGCCGCCGCUCCUCGGCAAUCAACGGGAGGUACAGCCGCUGCCACCACUCCUUCGCAGUGACGCAGGCCAGUGACAAGGAGGCUCGCAAUGGUGGGGGACGCAUCACCAUCUGCCGGAGAGGAGAAAGGCAUUCCUACCCCUUAACGAUUGAAAUGUAGGUCCAGGGAAAACAUCUGCACUACUGUUGGGCCAAUUGAUGCUAGGUGUACAUUGAGAUGUUUCAGAAAAAUAGAUCCUUGAUGCUGGACAUAGUGCAAUGGUGAGAUCCACUUAUUUAUGAUGGCGAGGAUGAUUGUUGGGCUGGCAUGUGGAGCUGUACUAAUAAGCUAUGAGAAGGUCCUCACAUCACAACACCCGAGCAAGUCUGGCAAGGCUUGCUCGCCAUGGCCUACCACAUCGGCGAGACGGGGCGAGCACGUGAUCACCAUCAGCAGGUCCUUCGUCACAACACCCGAGUGAGCGAGAUGUUCAGACAAAGUUAUAUGAUACACUGCUAUUGACAUAUGUUGUAGAUGGAUGGUACAUAUCGUUUCUCUCCAUGUUACAAUUUUUGUGACCUCGGCAUUUGGAAGACAUGUCAUCUGAAUUGUCUAUCAUAACUGAACCAUUACUAUCACAAGCAUCUUACUUUUAGAAAUUCAUAUGAUGGUUCAGUUAUCUAUAUUAUGUGUGCCAUCUGUUACCUCUGAAAUAUAUAUUAUGUGUGCCCUGUCGUGUUGGUUUA